rnacentral:rRNA from 1 species
AUGGUGUGCGCGUCACCAUCAGUUUGUUUUUCCUUAUAUUAUGCAGGUCUUCCACCCCCAGCUUUGGCGCCUCUAGCAAUAAUCACAACCCUCGCCGCCUCACAUCCCCCAUUCUCGCCAUCGUGGGAGAUCGCCAUCGAGAAAGCCCAAGCGACCACCAAGGACGGCGGUGGCGAGGUAUGUUCCCUCAAUUGCUUCUUCUUGUCGCUUUUGGUGAGUAUGAUCUUGUCGAACGCGGUCGCUUGGCCAUGCGUGCUCCAGUCGCUUCCUGGAGCCAUGUGGAGGUGUGGUGGCUACUUCAUCACGUCGUUUCAGGUGGCGAGGUAUGUUCCCUCGGUAGCUUCUUCAUCAUGUCGUUUCGGGUGGCUACUUCAUCAUGUUUCAGGUGGCGAGGUAUGUUCCCUCGGUUGCUUCUUCUUGUCGCUUUUGGUGAGUAUGAUCUUGUCGGAUGCGGUCGCUUGGCCAUGCGCGCUCUAG